rnacentral:lncRNA from 1 species
GGGAAAAAAAUAUUUCAGUUAUUUUUUCCAACUUUUUUUUUAGAUAUGUAUAAUUUUAUAAGUAUAUAAAAAUAUAUAGUAAUACAGGAAAUAGAAAAUAUGCUCUUACAAAUCAGAUACAAUAUUUCGCACUAACUUUAUAUAAAGCACAUUCAUUUCAGAAAUUUUACAAUAUUAAAUAAAAUUAAAAUUAUAUUAAUUUUUUUUAUUAAUUAUUGACUGUAUUUAUUAGAUGAAAUUUUAAUUUUGUUAUAUUGACUUUUUAAAAAUAGGAUUGGUCCAUACGAUAAUUAUUUUAAAAAAAAUUUAGCUCAUGUUUUAUACUAUUAAAAAAUUGGGUUGAUCUAUACGAUAAUUAUUUUUUAAAAAAAGUUUGGUUCACGUCUUAUCUUAUAUAUGAAUUUUUUACACCAUAUAUAAAAAUCUAUUAAUUUUUUGUAUAUGAAUUUUUUUAUUAAUUAUUCUAUUAAAAAAUACGGUUGGUCGAUACGAUAAAAAUUUUAGACUUGGUGUAGGCAAAAUCAUUUAUCAAUUAUAGAUUAUAUUUAUUAGAUGAAUAUUAAAAAAUAAGGUUGGUCCAUCCGAUAAUUAUUUUAAAAAAGGGUUUGGUUCAUGUUUUAAUUAUUUUAAAAAAAGAUUUAGUUCAUAUUUUAUAUACUUAGUGUACAAAUUUUUUUACACCGUAUAUAAAAAUUUAUUAAUUUUUGUAUAUAAAAUUUUUUUAAAUUAUACUAUUAAAAAUUAGGGUUAUUGCAUGUGUUAAAUUUUUUUUUUUUUUUUUUUGAGAGAUAGGUAGCAAGCUACCCGCUUCAUUUAUUUCAUUUAGAAAUAAGCUUAGCUAGAAAUGUGAAUCAACUAGGAUUCGAACUUGGGUCUCGGAUACCAACCACCAAACCCUUUGCCACUUGCUCUAGGGACGGUCGGUCAUGCGUUAAAAUUUUAAAAUAGAGAAAAGAAGGGUGUAGGUGUGUGAGAGAGAGUGAGAGAGAGACAAAAAAAAAAAAGGGGCUUGUCGGACAAUCUAUGGGUUUCCGAUGAUGAUGUCGCUGGAGAAGUUUGUGACACCCUAAUAAUUCCACAUUAAAUGAGAAAGUAAGGAUUUAAGUGCCCAUCGGUACGGGCCGUAUCUAUCGUGUCAUACCGUGCCAACAAGAUAUCGGCACGAUAUAGCUAACGUGCCAAUGACAUAAUUCAAAACUCUCUAUUCAUUAAAUUAGUAAGUAAUUUUUCUCAAUAAAGUUCAAAAGAUUUGAUAAAAAUAUAUGAUAAAUGAUUAGCAUAUUUUGUUGCAAGAGAAAAUAAAUAUUUCAUACUAUUAUGUGUCGCCACACAUGAAUUUUUUGUGAUCGGCACGGCCCGGCACGCACUGUGCCGUAUCGUCCCGAUAAGUUUCCGGCUCGACCUCGUGCCACGACACUUAAAAUCUUGUGAGAAAACAUUUUGGCCUAUAUUUUGAGCCCAACUAAUUAUUAGUGCUAGCGAGUUAGGUCAUUAUAUAAAACCGCAGCGAAAAAACAGUUUUAGUUGAAGGUGGGGCCCACUAUAAUAAGAGAUGCCUCUAUAUCAGCAUUAGGAUUUGAGUUUCCGUAUAUAGAUAUAGAUUAAGACAAACAAUGCUACAAAUGGGUACUUCUCAAGUAACUAAGCUAUUCAAACUACUUUUAAAAAGUUAAAUUAAGGGUAUUUAAAUCUUUUUACUCAUUAUUAUUAUUAAUUUUUCUAAACAUUUUCCUUAAAUCUCUCCACGAUAUCUUAGAUCACAACUAUAAUUAUGACGCUCCAAUAAUCCAACAUUAGACAAGAAAAAAAUUAUGAGAAAUUGUGAAUGAAAAAUAUAAGAACUUAGUACUCUAGUAAUAAUAGCUGAGGCUAAGUAUUUUGGGCAAAUUAUUCGGAUCCAAUAAGUUAUUUGUGUUAAUGGGUUAGAAUGUUAUAUUUAAUAUUAGAGUCGGUUUAUCAUCCGAAAGUGUGAGAUGAAUUUCACAUCACCUGCUAAUUUUCGACUAAAAGAUGGCCAGGAAAUGAUCAGGGUUCGAGACUUGAUGAGGUCUUCCAGGUACAAAUAGAAAGAAACUGUGAAUGAGAUUAUAAAGAUUAAUUAUGUACUCUAAUUAUAAUACCUGAAUUUAAGUAUUUUGCACUAGUGAUUUAAACCCAACAAAUUAUUAAUGCUAAUGCGCUGGGUUAUUACAUUUGAUGUUACAGUUGAUUUAUCAGCUAGGAAUAGAUAUUUGGUAUUAUAGUCAAUUUGACAGUCGGAAGCAUGAAAUGAGUCUCGUAUCGCCACAACGAAUUUAAGUACUCUGGCUAAUGCUUUGGACCUAACAAGUUAUGAUAAAAAACCCAAUAAAUUAUUAAUGCUAAUGAGCUAGAUUGUUACAUUUGAUGUUAUAGUCGAUUUAUCAGCCUGAAAGCAU